rnacentral:RNase_P_RNA from 2 species
CAGCCGGACCGGACGGUCGCUCUCGACGCCUUCGGGCGGCGGGGGAGGAAAGUCCGAACUCCGCAGAGCUGUGUGCCGGAUAACGUCCGGGAGGGUGCCCCACCCUUGCCUUGGCAAGGGUGGGAACAUUCGACGGAAAGUGCCACAGAAAACAUACCGCCCUGGCGGCAACGCUAGGGUAAGGGUGAAAAGGUGCGGUAAGAGCGCACCGCCGUCGCAGUAAUGCGGCGGGCAAGGCAAACCCCACACGGAGCAAGACCAAAUAGGGAGGGAGCCUCCGGGUUCGCCUGGGGCGCGUGCCGGCUCGGUGCGUUACCACCUCCGGGUAGGUCGCUUGAGCCUCGCAGCAAUGCGUGGCCCAGAGGAAUGACCGUCCUGCAGAAACGGGGUCCCCAGCGCGGGUUUUCAGCCCGCGAUGGGGUGCUUCAAUCGGCAGACAGAAUUCGGCUUACAGGUCCGGCUGCCGA